AGAAUACUAUAGUUUUCCUAUGUUCGUUGGGAUGGAAACCAAAUAAAAAUAUCACGCACAUCGUCGAUUUAGUUUUGGGUGAAUAUAAUAAGUCGCGAAGAUUAAGAAAGAACAAGCCCACAUGGAGCAUUCCCAUUUGUCAAAGACAACCUAAAGGUUAUGAGUGUGGUUACUACAUUAUAAUACAUAUGUUGAACAUUGUAUCUAGUGGUAUUGUUGAUUCAUGGAUGCGGGUAU